AUCAGCUGAUGACUACUAAUGUCUGGCUAUGACAGGUAAGGACCAAUCAGCUGAUGACUACUAAUGUCUGGCUAUGACAGGUAAGGACCAAUCAGCUGAUGACUACUAAUGUCUGGCUAUGACAGGUAAGGACCAAUCAGCUGAUGACUACUAAUGUCUGGCUAUGACAGGUAAGGACCAAUCAGCUGAUGACUACUAAUGUCUGGCUAUGACAGGUAAGGACCAAUCAGCUGAUGACUACUAAUGUCUGGCUAUGACAGGUAAGGACCAAUCAGCUGAUGACUACUAAUGUCUGGCUAUGACAGGUAAGGACCAAUCAGCUGAUGACUACUAAUGUCUGGCUAUGACAGGUAAGGACCAAUCAGCUGAUGACUACUAAUGUCUGGCUAUGACAGGUAAGGACCAAUCAGCUGAUGACUACUAAUGUCUGGCUAUGACAGGUAAGGACCAAUCAGCUGAUGACUACUAAUGUCUGGCUAUGACAGGUAAGGACCAAUCAGCUGAUGACUACUAAUGUCUGGCUAUGACAGGUAAGGACCAAUCAGCUGAUGACUACUAAUGUCUGGCUAUGACAGGUAAGGACCAAUCAGCUGAUGACUACUAAUGUCUGGGUAUGACAGGUAAGGACCAAUCAGCUGAUGACUACUAAUGUCUGGCUAUGACAGGUAAGGACCAAUCAGCUGAUGACUACUAAUGUCUGGGUAUGACAGGUAAGGACCAAUCAGCUGAUGACUACUAAUGUCUGGCUAUGACAGGUAAGGACCAAUCAGCUGAUGACUACUAAUGUCUGGCUAUGACAGGUAAGGACCAAUCAGCUG